AGCGCCACCGGAUCGACGGCUCUGGUGACGACGAGGUAGUCCCGCAACACGAUUCCGUGCCGGUUCUC
rnacentral:sRNA from 1 species